UUGGCUCGCGUUACACUGUGGACCAAUCACGUCCUCUCAAAAUUCCGGUUGACAGCAGCUGGGCGGGGCAACCAACCAAGCAAAAAAAGCUGAACUUGAAAAAGCUGAGAGGAGGAAGGGGUCGCGAUAAGGCGUGUUUAAUGAGAAAGGUAUGUGCAUAGUAAGAAUUGGUAUGACCAUAUAAGUACCAUUCACUCUCAAGAGGGGUCUGCAUCAUCCAAAUUCUUCCCCCCUCCCCCAUAUGUGUCAACAGGGUCUGGUCUGACUGACCUCAAUCUUCAGUCAAAACAAGUACUGUACCUGUCAUGAGUUCCUUCUGCUGUGGAAACCCCAUGAGUGUUACGUACAACAUCUAUUCCACCUGCUUUGGACCACCUGUCAUGUAAACAGGUUUGUGUCAGUCAAACAGAGUUCAAUCCAAAUGCGAACCAGAUGAAGAUGUUGCAACGUCCUGGGACGAACGACAAGUUGUGACCCGCGUCGGUCAGAAAGUGCCAUUUCUGAACACACGGCUACUCUAAUGCUAUAUUAUUCAGUGACGUUAUGUUUGAGGUGGAGCCUGAGGUAUGACUGGCAUUUCCUGGCCUAUGCUGGAAAAUCAAAUUUCCUGAAUAAUGUGUGAUUUACGUUUUCUCUGAGUCAUCCUGGAGUGGAACGUAUCGGUGUUUUCGUGUCUGUUGAGUUACGGGGCAUCCCAUGUAUGUUGAGUAGCAGAAUACUGAACAUCCAGCAUGACUGGACUGCCUGGAAAUAUCAAUAAAUCGCACUCUGCUCUUUGCUGGGAUGGGUGGGAAGUAUUUGACAUGUCAGCUGGUGGGGUCAAAGGUUAGCUUGUUAUAUUGCUUGAGCUGGACCAGGCAGGGGAAAGGGACAAAUGAGGAGGAGUGGAAGAAAACACUUCUCAACAGAAUAAGCAACUUUGACACGGAAGCUAACUUGAAAAAAA